UUACGGCCACAUCAAGUUGAAACACCGGUUCCCGUGUGAUCACCGAAGUUAAGCAACGUCGAGCCUCGUCAGUAUGUAGAUGGGAAUACUACCAGGGAAUACCAGGUGAUGUCAG